UUGCUCACUUCGGCAGCAUAUAUACUAAAAUUGGACCAAUAGAAAGAUUAGCAUGGCCCCUGCAUGAGGAUGACAUAUAAAUUCAUGAAUAUUCACAGACCAAU
ensembl:snRNA U6 U6 spliceosomal RNA